CUCACCUGCCGAAUCAACUAGCCC
rnacentral:ncRNA from 5 species